ACGAGCUGCAGGAUAAGGCGCACAAGGAGGAACCUCAGUCCUUCCCUCCAGCCGGGCUAACCCCCAGCCCCGCCCCCUCCUUUGCACAGCUUAAAGGCUGUAUGUCUCCUUUGGUUUUAGUGUUUGACAAUGUCUCUAUCUAGCUAUUUUUUUGUGGUUGGUUGGUUUGGUUUUCUGAAACAUGUUAUACAGUCCAUGCUGGAACUAUUGAGCCCUCGUGCGUCAGCCCACCCAAGUGCUGGAAUUACAGGAAUAAUCGAGCCAUUUAUAACUGACUUAACAUGAUAAAUUCCUAAUUUUACUUUCAGAAGCAUAAAUGCUGGAACCAAGCUGCCUGAGUUCUAAUCUUGGCAACCUGGGGCAAGUUAACUCAUAGUGCCUUAAUUUUCUCCUCUUUCACAUGGGAGUGACUGUCAGAGCACCAGCAUCAUAGAUUCACCAUAAAGAACAAACAUUGGGUAUUUGUUGGGUUAUUAUGUCCCGUGAGUUCCUGCUUUAGCAGACUCCACCCUUCACACUGCUCCUGUGGAACUGAGUCUGAGUACCUGGCCUUUAAACCUGUCUUGAAAGGUGAGAACUUCUCUCCAGAAAGGUUCACAUAUCACAUUUUGUGGCCAAUUUUAGGAUGUGUGCAUGCCUGUGCUUGUGUCCAUCUAAGGCAAACCCAUUGUUUCCUAUGGCGCUCAGUAGGCAUGACUGAAGUGCCAGGUACAGGCUUUUCCUGACGGUGUUCGGAUUCCCCAGGGGCAUAGACUAUGUCUGAAAAGAGCUUGCUGUCUGGAUGCUGGGAUAUCAGAGCACCAGAAGAGGGGCCUUUCCCCAAAUUAAGCAGGGAGAGAAUAGACAGGGAAGUUUACUACCUGUCUCAUCUCCCUGAUGUCAGUCCCCAUUAGCAAGACCCACUUCAAGAGUUCAUCCUCACUAAAGAAACCUCUGCAGACACUCCGGGCUCCUAUGUGUCCAUUUGUCCGAAGGAGAGUCUAGACUCCUUAGUCCCGAAUUUAUUUAUUGUUUUGAGAAAAAUGUCUCAUGUGGCCUAGGCUAGCCUCAAACUCACUAUGUAGUCAAGGAUGGCCUUGAACUCCUGAUCCUCUUUAUCAAGUGCUGACAUUACAAGUGUGAACUGCUCCCAGUUUGUGCAGUUCUGGAGAACCAACCCAGGCCUGCAGCAUACAAGACAAGUACUCUACCAUCCAAGCCCCAGUUCCCCCCUCUCUCUUAUUGGAGGUGAACUUGGUUUUGUUUUGAGAGACAGGGUCAUACUCAGUAGCCCAAGCUAACCUGGAACUCACAGCAAUGCUCCUGCCUCAGCCUGAGAGCUGAGAUUACAGGUGUGAGCCACAGGCACUUUUCCCAAACUGGUCUCAACCUUUCCCCAGUCUUCUCUCAGGAGAUUCUGGUUUUACACCCCAAAAUAGAGCAACUUUCCCCCCCAGAUUUUCUGAGGUGAUUCUGUUUUCUGUAAUGACAGUCUUUGUAUAAAGAGGUGAGAUGUCUGAUUGAAAGUGAUUUAAUUUUUUUCAGAUUUACUUCUUUUCUUACAUGUAUGCAUGUGUAUCGUGUGCAUGACUGGUGCCCACAGAGACCAGGAGAAGGUCACAGAGUCUCUGGUUCUAGAGUCACGGAUGGCUAUGAGGACGCCAGGUCCCCUCCAGGAGCAAAAGUACUCUGAACUUCUGAGCCUUCUCACCAGCCCCAGCCCCAGCCCCAGCCCCAGCCCCAGCCCCAGCCCCAGCCCCAGCCCCAGCCCCAGCCCCAGCCCCAGCCCCAGCCCCAGCCUCAACUGUUACUGUUUUGUUUCCUUUCAGUUUUUCAAGACAGGGUUUCUCUGUGUAGCCCUGUCUCUCCUGGAACUCAUUGUGUAGAGCAGGCUGACCUUAAUCUCAAAGAUUCACCUGCUUCUGCCUCCCGAGUGCUGAUAUUAAAGACAUGGGCCACCACCUCAGGGCUCAUGCUUUAAUUUUUAUUUAAUAGCAUUUCUCCACAUCCCCCAAAUCCUUCAUCAUCCAGUGCAGUCUAAACUUUGUUUCAGUGACCAGGCAUUUGCUCCACACUGAGCUUGCCGGCUUCCACACUGUGGCCAUGCUGUGUGUCCCUCUGCUUGGGAGCUGUUUGUCCCCACACUCUAAAGUCUGUCCCUCUCACUUGGUACUUCCCAAGUGCUGGCUCUCUUCAAAGCCUCUCCUUCUCCCUCAUUCCCAGCCUUCAACCCACGGCUCAGUAACCCGCAGGGUGCUUCAUGAUGGAGAAAGGAAAUCUCAAUGCCCACUGCUUCCUGCAGUGAUCUAUCUGUCCCUGACCUGUGCCUCCUCGGAUGUGACACCUUCCGCAGAAGCUCCCCCCCAGUGUUUGUACCUCCGCCCUCCCCCCAGCCCCCACAUAGAACUCAUAAGUGUACAGUUGCCACGGGACACAUUCAUUCCGGGAGUGGCUCCGGGAAGAGAAGCAGCGCACCCACCCUGCCAGGUCGCCUGUGUCUCCCUUUCUUCCUUCUUACCCCAGAAAAAAAGCAAGUCCAUUGUGAAGAUAAAUAGGUCAGCCUCCCUCCCUCCCUCACCGCUGCCCUGUGGUCUGGCCAGGAGCACUUUCCACCCAGGCACUUCUGAGCAGAGCUUGUCCUGAUUUCUGGAAGUGGGAGAGACUCUUCUCUCCCCUCAUCUUUGCACUGGAUCCUGCCACCUUAAGAGUCAGUUGGGAUGCUGAGGCUGACGUGCUGGCCCUCCACAAAGAAAAGGCAGGGAACAAGGGAUACUCUUUCAUCAAGUGAGAUAUAUUAAUUUAUUAAGGUUAAAUCAGAGCAUUCCGGGGCAGUGAGUGGGAGAUCAAAGGAAAUGAUGCAGGAGCUCACUAACUGGACCAGUGAAGUCGGAAGCUCACAGCUUCCCUUAGUGACUGGAUGGAGAUUGAUCAAAUCUGGGCAAAGCCUGCAGCCCCAACCCCUUCCCACUUGCUUGAAUAAGACACUCCAGGGGCACAGCCUUGUGCUAGCAAAGACAAGCAAUAACAACAUGGCCGGCGUAUUAAAAAACAAUCCCCUGCAUCCCAGCUCCUGCCCAGGACUCCCAGAGAUCCAGGACCACCUACCCUGCCCUCAGAGAUACACGUCUGGAAGUAGCACUCUGAGCAUGACCCCACUGCUAGCAACUGUGCCAACCCACCUUGAUGAACCCCUCCAGGUUCUUCUGGCUCACACACGGAUGGUCCUUCAGAAACUGAUCUCGGCCAUCUUCCAGGUCCUUCUGAACCUGCUGCUCAUGAGGCUGCUCCAGAGCCUGGAACACCAGAGCCCCAGAUACCAAGUAAAGCAGCACCAAUGCCAACAGG